rnacentral:rRNA from 1 species
CCCUUAGAUGUUCUGGGCUGCACGCGCGCUACACUGAAGCUAUCAACACGUUUUCCCUCCCUGAGAAGGGCGGGUAACCUUUUGAAUCAGCUUCGUGGUAAGGAUCGGGGCUUGCAAUUGUUCCCCGUGAACCAGGAAUUCCUAGUAGACGCGAGUCAUAAGCUCGCAUCGAUUAAGUCCCUGCCCUUUGUACACACCGCCCGUCGCUACUACCGAUUGAACGUUUUAGUGAGGCAUUUGGACCGACGCAUCUCAGUUUAACCGCUGGUUUGUGUUGGAAAGACUUCCAAACUUGAGCGUUUAGAGGAAGUAAAAGUCGUAACA